rnacentral:rRNA from 1 species
UACGUAGGUGGCAAGCGUUGUCCGGAAUUAUUGGGCGUAAAGCGCGCGCAGGCGGUCCUUUAAGUCUGAUGUGAAAGCCCACGGCUCAACCGUGGAGGGUCGUUGGAAACUGGGGGACUUGAGUGCAGAAGAGGAGAGUGGAAUUCCACGUGUAGCGGUGAAAUGCGUAGAGAUGUGGAGGAACACCAGUGGCGAAGGCGACUCUCUGGUCUGUAACUGACGCUGAGGCGCGAAAGCGUGGGGAGCGAACAGG